GGGUCAGUAGGUUGGUCGUGCCACCGGUACGUACUGGUCUCACUGAUUCCUCCUUCCUGAAGAACCGUAAUGCCAUUAAUUUGGUGUUGCGGGGGAACAGGACUGUUACUUUGAAAAAAUUAGAGUGUUUAAAGCAAGCUAACACUUGAAUACAUUAGCAUGGAAUAAUGAAAUAGGACGAUCGAUCAUAUUUUGUUGGUUUCUAGGAUUGACGUA
rnacentral:rRNA from 1 species